rnacentral:rRNA from 1 species
UACGUAGGGGGCAAGCGUUGUCCGGAUUUAUUGGGCGUAAAAGGCUUGUAGGUGGCCACGCCAAGUCGGAUGUGAAAUCUCCCGGCUCAACUGGGAGGGGUCAUUCGAUACUGGUGGGCUCGAGGCCGGUAGGGGGUAGUGGAAUUCCCGGUGUAGUGGUGGAAUGCGUAGAUAUCGGGAGGAACACCAGUGGCGAAGGCGGCUUCCUGGACCGGUUCUGACACUGAGGAGCGAAAGCGUGGGGAGCGAUCCGG